AGUGAACGCUGGCGGUAGGCCUAACACAUGCAAGUCGAACGGCAGCACAGUAAGAGCUUGCUCUUACGGGUGGCGAGUGGCGGACGGGUGAGGAAUACAUCGGAAUCUACUUUUUCGUGGGGGAUAACGUAGGGAAGCUUACGCUAAUACCGCAUACGACCUACGGGUGAAAGCAGGGGAUCUUCGGACCUUGCGCGAUUGAAUGAGCCGAUGUCGGAUUAGCUAGUUGGCGGGGUAAAGGCCCACCAAGGCGACGAUCCGUAGCUGGUCUGAGAGGAUGAUCAGCCACACUGGAACUGAGACACGGUCCAGACUCCUACGGGAGGCAGCAGUGGGGAAUAUUGGACAAUGGGCGCAAGCCUGAUCCAGCCAUACCGCGUGGGUGAAGAAGGCCUUCGGGCUGUAAAGCCCUUUUGUUGGGAAAGAAAAGCAGCAGGUUAAUACCCCGCUGUUCUGACGGUACCCAAAGAAUAAGCACCGGCUAACUUCGUG
rnacentral:rRNA from 1 species